rnacentral:lncRNA from 1 species
CAGUUGCGCUUCAGCAUUAGACCAAAGUAGUUUGACUUUUUAGUUUUUAGCCGCGAAGCGAAUAGUAUAUACGUGGCUCUGUGUGUGUGUGCGGUGUGUGUUGUGGCAGCUGCACUUGCAGCGAGAGACAGAAAUACAUUUCGUACAAAAUUCCGCCCUGCAUUUAGUAUAUUUCACCUUAGAGCGUCUUUGCCACACACACACUUGUUACCACUCACACACUGGCAAGCGAGAACAAGACACACACGUGGCCAUCAAAGCGGUAUCGGUUCGCGUCGCGUUUGGCCUAAAAUUGUAACAGUUUUCCUUUUACAACAACGAAGAAUACCAGAAGAAGCAAAGCCAAAAACGCAGCUGCAGUUGACGUCGACGCAGUGUUAGCUGCUGCCAUCGCUGCUGCAGUCGCCGACGUCCGUUUCUGUUUGGCCCAUUGCCGUUGGCCAGCUUCAGUGUUCAUUUCCCCAUCGAGUCGGCAACAACGAGCGGAAGUCGCAGAGGCCCACAGCCAACGAACAGUCGAUCGAUCCCCAGCUGAACAGCUGAUUAACUGCGUACCCCCACCCCCUCCCGUCCCCACAACCCAUAGUGUGAUUUUGUACCCCUGGAUUGCAUAAACCCACAAGCAGAAACGGAAACAGCAAUACACCAGCACCAACACUAAGCUAAACCCUCAUCAAAAUCCAAAAACCAAGCGGGUCUUGGCUUUUUCGGUGGCGUAUACGUAAUAUCAGUCGACUAGCUGCACAUCUGCCAUUGCAAUUGCGAUUCUCUGGGCAUUAUGCAAUGGCACAACAAAGAGGCACCCUGUAAUUCAAGCAACAACAACACAAAAACAAUAGAAGUGCAAUGCGAACACAUUUUCGCU